rnacentral:tRNA from 1 species
GCCUGGGUGGCUCAGUCAGUUAAGCAUCUGACUUCAACUCAGGAUCUCACCGUUCAUGGGUUCGAGCCCCGCGUCGGGCU